rnacentral:rRNA from 1 species
UUAACUAGACUUAACUAUGGGAUUAUUACACUAGUCCCUAAAGUUAAGGAUGCUAAAAAAAUUCGAAAAUUCAGGCCUAUGUGUGUGUUAAAUGUUAGUUUCAAAAUCAUUGCUAUAGUCUUGAUGAAUAGACUUAUUAAAGUGGUUAACCCUAUAUUCUCACCCAUACAAACUGCCUUCGUAAAAGGUAGAUAUAUCAAGGAAGGAGUGGUUAUUUUGCAUGAGGUUCUAAAUUCAAUUCAUACAAAAAAAUAGAAUGCUAUGUUGUUCAAAGUUGGUUUUGAAAAAACAUAUGACAAAAUUAAGUGGCCUUUUGUUCACAAAAUGCUCAGGUUGAAAAACUUCCCCUGA